AACCUUAGUAGGCAGUUUCUCUUCCGGGACUGGAACAUUGGACAGGCUAAAUCAACGGUCGCCGCUUCUGCAGCUGCUUUGAUUAAUCCUCAUCUCAACAUAGAAGCACUGCAGAACCGUGCCAGUCCUGAGACUGAGAAUGUCUUUGACGACCCAUUCUGGGAAAAUCUAAAUGUUGUUAUAAAUGCUUUGGAUAAUGUGAAUGCUAGGCUUUACGUUGAUGCAAGAUGCUUGUAUUUCCAAAAGCCUCUUCUGGAGUCGGGAACCCUAGGUGCCAAGUGCAACACUCAGAUGGUCAU
rnacentral:misc_RNA from 1 species